rnacentral:lncRNA from 1 species
CAUCAGUCACCCCAAAGCCUGACUCAUCUCAAACACCUUGAUUUUCUCUACUGUAUACCCCACACCUCACCAUGAAUGGAGAGUUGCUGUGGUUGAUUUCACUCCUGAGUUACCAUUUCUACAGAUUUCACCAACAAGAACAUGAGUGAUUGUUUCAGUAUUGACCUAAACUUUGACUCUUGGGGUUGAGACAGUUUUCUCAAUGAACUGAGUUUGAACCCUGGUGGCAAGGUGGGUGCCAGGUGGUGUUGAUGGUAGGACAACCCAGAGCUGUGAUGACUCCCCAAGAGCACGGCCUAUGAAACCUCAUGGACUUGGCAUGUUGUUGAUGGAACAUCCAAAGCAUUGCAUGAGAUUCUCAACCAUAAGGGAUGGUCAAAAUUAGUGUCACAUAAGAAGGUACAAUCAAUUUUCACAGUCACUUCACUUUUAAGGAGGUAGAGUCAGAUGUCCUGGAAAAUAAGAGAAAACUAAGAGAAAAUGAAAAUGAAAGCCAAAAUGGAUCUCUUUGUGAAAUAUGUUCAGAGCAUUAGAGAGUAGAGUAAAAUGGUAAUUCACAGAACUCCUCACCCAUGAAAUGAAUAUCUUGUGAGCAGGUUAGUCUUUUUCCAUCUAUUGAGUCAGAAUCUGGGUGAGUCACACACUUCAGGUGACAGAUGCCAAAACACCCUCAAAAUUAACCAAAGGGUGCUGCUUAGCCUUGCAAAGCAAAUACAAAUAUUCAAACAAACAUCUCUCCAAAAGGCACCUCUCCACUUUCCGCUAACUAACCGUCUGUGCUAUGUCUUUACCUAGAGCCCCGUGCUUGGGAUGGGAACAGACGUGUUCCUGCGCAGCCCUAUUAUUUUCUUGUCAGAAGCCUGAUUAGAGUGAUGGAGAGGUUUAUAAUGUGUCCUGUUUUCCCCUGUAAAAAACACAUUUCUCCUAAAGCCAUUUAAUAUUUCAUUGCCAGAAUAUCCAGUGAUAUAAAAAUUCUGAAACCCUUUAUUUUCUGUUGUAUAGGUAAGAAAAAGAAAACAUCAAUUUACAGUUUACAUGUAAAUCCCACAGAUAGCACUUAAAAUCAAGUAGUAGAUAACAUAACCUGGCAGCCAUCAUAAUGCUCAGCAUUUUAUAAUUCAAAAAACAUAACAAUCAGGUUAAACAAAUAGUAUUUUUUAUUAAAUGUCACUCAAUCCCAGGGCUGAGAAUUCAUUUGUGUUUUCCUCCUAGACUCAAUCACCACAAUUGCAAUCAAAAGACGGCUUUAGUUGGAACCUGGAACGUGCUAAUCCUGUCAGGCAGCCUGUGAUUCUGGAAGUGAAGGAACAAAAAAAAAAAAAAAAAGGGAAAAUUUCACAUAAAAUUUCCAUAUGAGGAAGAAGAUGGAAACUUUUGUGUUGUGCGUUCAGUAAAACGGGCACUUUCUUAAGCAGGUGGCAAAGAAAGCCUGAGAAUCCGGCCUGACUUUUUCAUUUCAGAACCCUGCAUUUCCCACACAGAGGAGAUAGAGCACAGCCAUUGCAUGGUAGAUCCAGCUUGCUCUCACAGCCAUUGUGCAAAUAAACAUACAUGUGGCAAGGCAGUGCAGUUUUCAGUUGUUAAAAGUUCUGUCAUGCCACGAGAUGGAGCAAAGGAUAAACGCUGAUGUAAACAGGCAACAGGACUCUGACUCCACACCCCUGUCUGCACGGAGGAUGCUCAGUCCUUACACAACAAAAUGUGAGAUGCUUCCAGUCACCUCCUGGCCCUGACCCCUGAGCUCCGUGCUCACCCCACUGGAGGUCCUGGCAGUUCUCCGAGCAGGCUGUACCUGUCUGGGGUGAUCCUCUCCACUUAAUGUUAGACAUUAAGUUCCCUGUGAAAUCUGUUUUGACUCACUGAGGUUAUGAAUAUUUUAUCACAACUAUCAUCAUAUACUACCAAAUCUCCAAUUUUCUUAUCUCCAUUACUAGACUGUGAGCUCCCUGGAGGCUGGACCUGGGUUUGGCACCGAGUGGCACUCAUACAUACUUCUUGAAUAAGAGAAUUGGUGGCUUUAAAACAUGUCUACAAAUGCCUUGACCGUCUUUCCAGUGGGAGGCAGAGUCUAACUCCCUGUCCCCCGAAUGUGGGCUGGCCUUUGGGAAGAAAAGAAUAAGGUUGAAGUGAUGCUGCCCAACUUCUAAACCCAGUUCCUAAAAGAAAACAGCAUUAAAACAAUCUGAUAUUAUGGCCGUCAAAAUGCUUAUCCAGGCAUUCUGCAAAAAGUGAAAAUGUCUAUAUACUUGUGGCCAAGAAAGAAAAGAAAACUAUCAGUUUCUGGCUGCUUGAGCAUAAAUCUGAAGUCACUGUGUAUCUAUGUAAACGUAAAAGCAAAAGAGGAGAUGUGUCAGACUCCGUGGCACCAGGCUGAUCACAGAAUAAAGUGAAGAAAUUCCCCCUGCACAGCUGAUGGUGCCUGUUGCUGAGACAAAUACAGAGA